rnacentral:rRNA from 1 species
GGUUGGGCUGUUCGCCCAUUAAAGUGGCACGCGAGCUGGGUUCAGAACGUCGCGAGACAGUUCGGUCUCUAUCUAUUGCGGGCGUUAGAAAUUUGAAGGGAGCUGACUUUAGUACGAGAGGACCGAGUCGGACAAACCUCUAGUGUACCUGUUGUGGCGCCAGCUGCAUCGCAGGGUAGCUACGUUUGGAUGAGAUAAGCGCUGAAAGCAUAUAAGCGCGAAACUCGCCCUU